AGUGAACGCUGGCGGUAGGCCUAACACAUGCAAGUCGAACGGCAGCACAGUAAGAGCUUGCUCUUGCGGGUGGCGAGUGGCGGGCGGGUGAGGAAUACAUCGGAAUCUACUUUUUCGUGGGGGAUAACGUAGGGAAACUUACGCUAAUACCGCAUACGACCUACGGGUGAAAGCAGGGGAUCUUCGGACCUUGCGCGAUUGAAUGAGCCGAUGUCGGAUUAGCUAGUUGGCGGGGUAAAGGCCCACCAAGGCGACGAUCCGUAGCUGGUCUGAGAGGAUGAUCAGCCACACUGGAACUGAGACACGGUCCAGACUCCUACGGGAGGCAGCAGUGGGGAAUAUCGGACAAUGGGCGCAAGCCUGAUCCAGCCAUACCGCGUGGGUGAAGAAGGCCUUCGGGUUGUAAAGCCCUUUUGUUGGGAAAGAAAAGCAGCAGGUUAAUACCCCGCUGUUCUGACGGUACCCAAAGAAUAAGCACCGGCUAACUUCGUG
rnacentral:rRNA from 1 species